rnacentral:tRNA from 1 species
AGGCAAUUAGUAUAAAUAAAAUACUUGAUUUCGGCUCAAGAGUUUAUGGUGAAAAUCCAUAGUUACCUA